CAACCUCAACUCAUAUGGGACUACCCCCUGAAUUUAAGCAUAUUAAUUAGGGGAGGAAAAGAAACUAACAAGGAUUUUCUUAGUAGCGGCGAGCGAAAAGAAAACAGUUCAGCACUAAGUCACUUUGUCUAUAUGGCAAAUGUGAGAUGCAGUGUAUGGAGCGUCAAUAUUCUAGUAUGAGAAAUUAAUGAUUUAAGUCCUUCUUAAAUGAGGCCAUUUACCCAUAGAGGGUGCCAGGCCCGUAUAACGUUAAUGAUUGCUAGAUGAUGUUUCCAAAGAGUCGUGUUGCUUGAUAGUGCAGCACUAAGUGGGUGGUAAACUCCAUCUAAAACUAAAUAUAACCAUGAGACCGAUAGUAAACAAGUACCGUGAGGGAAAGUUGAAAAGAACUCUGAAUAGAGAGUUAAACAGUACGUGAAACUGCUUAGAGGUUAAGCCCGAUGAACCUGAAUAUCCGUUAUGGAAAAUUCAUCAUUAAAAUUGUAAUAUUUAAAUAAUAUUAUUAAGAAUAAUGUGCAUUUUUCCAUAUAAGGACAUUGUAAUCUAUUAGCAUAUCCCAAAUUUAUCGUAAAAUAUAACUUAUAGAUUAUUCCAAUUAAAUUGCUUGCAUUUUAACACAGAAUAAAUGUUAUUAAAUUUGAUAAAGUGCUGAUAGAUUUAUAUUAUUACAGAGCGUUAAUUUUUCGGAAUUAUAUAAUGGCAUAAUCAUCAUUGAUUUUUGUGUUUAUUAUAUGCUCUUGUAUGAUUAACAAUGCGAAAGAUUCAGGAUACCUUCGGGACCCGUCUCGCAACACGGACCAACCGAGUCAAGAACAUCCCCGCAAGUUAUUGGGAUGUAAACCAAAUAGCGUAAUUAACUUGACUAAUAUUGGGA
rnacentral:ncRNA from 1 species